rnacentral:rRNA from 1 species
CGAACGCUGGCGGCGUGCUUAACACAUGCAAGUCGAGCGAUGAAGCACCUUCGGGUGUGAAUUAGCGGCGAACGGGUGAGGAACACGUGAGAAAUCUGCCUUCAACUCUGGGAUAACUCCGUGAAAACGGGGCUAAUACCGGAUAUGAAACCUUCAGGCAUCUGAGGGUUUGGAAAGUUUUUCGGUUGAAGAUGAUCUCGCGGCCUAUCAGCUUGUUGGUGAGGUAAUGGCUCACCAAGGCGACGACGGGUAGCCGGCCUGAGAGGGCGACCGGCCACACUGGGACUGAGACCACGGCCCAGACUCCUACGGGAGGCAGCAGUGGGGAAUAUUGGGCAAUGGAGGAAACUCUGACCCAGCGACGCCGCGUGCGGGAUGAAGGCCUUCGGUUGUAAACCGCUUUCAGCAGGGAAGAAGCGAAAGUGACGGUACCUGCAGAAGAAGCACCGGCUAACUAUGUGCCAGCAG